rfam:Camelus ferus unplaced genomic scaffold scaffold726, whole genome shotgun sequence.
AAGGGUAUAGCUCAGUGGUAGAGAAUGUGCUUAGCACACAUGAGGUCCUGGGUUCAAUCCCCAGUACCUCCA